rfam:Chelonia mydas contig136634, whole genome shotgun sequence.
GGUCCCAUGUUGUAAGGGCCAGCACUCAGGGCUUUGAAUCCUACAAUCCAAGUUCAAAUCUCAGUGGGACCU